rnacentral:rRNA from 1 species
GAAGGAGGACUGAAAGGAACUCUGGAGGUAUCAGAAGUGAGAAUGCAGGAAUAAGUAGCGAGAAGGGGAGUGAGAAUCUCCCCCGCUGGAAGACCAAGGUUUUCAGGGUAAAGCUUGUCUUCCCUGAGUAAGCCGGGACCUAAGCCCAGGCUAGAAUGCGUAGGCGAAUGGAAAACAGAUGAAUAUUUCUGUGCCAGUUCUACUUUGUGAAGGAGGGACGCAGAAGGGUAUGCGCGCAGACGAACGGAAGAGUCUGUAGAAGCAUGUAGAGUGACUUGGUAGGCAAAUCCGCCAGGUUAGACUUAAGGUGUGACAUAUACUCGCAAGAGGAAUGCGCAAAUCCCACGCUGCCGAGAAAAGCUUCUAGCGGUAAAGUAGAGACUGCCCGUACUGGAAACCGACACAGGUGGUCAGGAUGAGAAAUCUAAAGCGGACAGGCUAACUCUCGUUAAGGAACUCUGCAAAAUGGCCCCGUAACUUCGGGAGAAGGGGUGCCUUUAGGCGUGAGUAUACAAGCGAUACAAAGCGCUUUGAGGUCGCAGUGAAGAGGCUCAAGCAACUGUUUAACAAAAACACAGGUCUAUGCGAAGCUGUAAGGCGAAGUAUAUGGGCUGACACCUGCCCAGUGCCGGAAGGUUAAGAGGAGGAGUGAGAGCUCCGAAUUGAAGCCCCGGUGAACGGCGGCCGUAACUAUAACGGUCCUAAGGUAGCGAAAUUCCUUGUCGGGUAAGUUCCGACCUGCACGAAUGGUGUAAUGAUUUGAGCGCUGUCUUGACGGGAGGCCUGGUGAAAUUGUAUUACCGGUGAAGAUACCGGUUACCUACAGUAGGACGGAAAGACCCCAUGGAGCUUUACUGUAGCUUGGUAUUGGGUUUUGGCAUGGCAUGUAUAGGAUAGUUGGGAGACUGGGAAGGAAUGGCGCUAGCUGUACCGGAGUCAUCGGUGGAAUACCAACCAUUCCCUGCUGAAAUUCUAAUCUGUACUUUGGAGGUACGGAGACAGUGCUAGGUGGGCAGUUUGACUGGGGCGGUCGCCUCCGAAAGAGUAACGGAGGCGUUCAAAGGUUCUCUCAGGUUGGAUGGAAAUCAACCGCAGAGUGCAAUGGCAAAAGAGAGCUUGACUGCAAGACUGACGGGUCGAGCAGAUGCGAAAGCAGGACAUAGUGAUCCGGCGAUUCCGUAUGGAAGGGUCGUCGCUCAACGGAUAAAAGCUACCCUGGGGAUAACAGGCUGAUCCUACCCGAGAGUCCAUAUCGACGGUAGGGUUUGGCACCUCGAUGUCGGCUCAUCGCAUCCUGGGGCUGGAGAAGGUCCCAAGGGUUGGGCUGUUCGCCCAUUAAAGCGGUACGUGAGCUGGGUUCAGAACGUCGUGAGACAGUUCGGUCCCUAUCCACUGUAGGCGCAAGAAUAUUGAGAAGAUCUGUCCUUAGUACGAGAGGACCGGGAUGGACAAACCUCUGAUGUACCAGUUGUCACGCCAGUGGCACAGCUGGGUAGUCACGUUUGGCAUAGAUAACCGCUGAAAGCAUCUAAGCGGGAAACUAGCUUCAAGAUAAGUAUUCUACGAGGAAGCUUCGAGAACAGGAGCU